AUGUUGUAUAUAUUUUUCUUAUAUAGAGUUGAUUAUGUGGAGUGUUCUUUUCUGUGUGCUUGCUUAGUUUACAUUAAAAUAUAGAAGUUUGACCCAAAAAGGUUGCUUGUUGUUAGCACUGGAGUCUUCUAACAUAAAUAAACUACGUAAAAUUCUUGGAUCAUUGCAAUUUAUGACACAAGAGAAAAAAAAUCUCGGGAAUAAUAGUUAUUUCUCUAUGUUUAUAUGUAAUGGGUGCAGUGUUGUUUUCUCCAGUGAAGCAGAGUGGGAUGGUAAACCCAGGAGGCCUUGUCCCAUGGCAAAUUCAAGAGUUGGUUAAUCAAUUUUCAUUAAACCAUUUAUUUUUACUAGGGAGUUAAUCUUAUGCACACUGUGACAUAGGGUAGGUUGAAGGAGAAGCAGCAAGGGCCAGGUCUAUUUCUCAAUGCAUCUUACAAAGCUUUUUUUUUAUCCAGAUUUUGUAUGUGACUUCCUGCACAUUUUAAAAAGACAAAAUGUAUGAAUGCGGAUCCCAUGUAAAAGUCCUUUACCAGCAACACCAUCUUAUAGGAAGGCUGUUUUUUCAUAACAUUUUAACAAUAAAGCAUGCUUCAAUACAAUACCACAAUUAAGACAAAGUAAUAAUUAUAAAAACUACAUUAACGUAUAUACAGUACUUUUCCUAAUAGGGAUUAGGAAAGAUGACACAGUAAAGGAUAAGUGGUUACAAAAGGAUUGUUUUAUGUGUGAAUAUUUAUAGUGUGGUACUAAAAUACAUGGCUUUUAUGCAUCAAGUGUAUAUUUUCUUUAUCCUCAUUAAUUGUCCUUUAAUUUGUUUAUGUAUUGUAUCAGAGCAGGUAUAGAGAAAUAUUUUUUUUCAUAUAGUGAUUUUGCCAGUUGGAUACAUGACCAAGCUGUCAACCAAAUUAUCACCAGUCAAAAAAAUGUUUUAUUUUUAGUUUUUUAAAUUGUGCAUCUACCUUUAACUUGCCUUGACCAAAUUCUUAUUUUUAUUGAUCAGUGUUUUGGAAAGUAAAAAAAGAAGCAAGAAAGGAAAAAAGCACAAAAAGGAGAAGAGAAAGAAAAAGAAGCACCAAAGUAAACAGUUUUCUUCCUCUGAUUCCGAGUCGGACAACAUAAAUAGGAAGAAAAGGACCCUUCAUCCAUCAUAUUCGCUGCAAUUUGGUGCUGUGCCGGGUGGUAGACAUUCAUCAGCAGAGACUGAACAGCGGUCCUCUGGCAGUAGGCAGCAGCGCCAUGACACAGAUUCAUCUGGGUCUUCACCAGAUGGGUCAAAUGUGGCUUACUACCUUCACAACAGCAGGGAAGCAAUAAAUUCUCCUCAUGCUCGUGGGAUGAAACGACACUAGCAAAUCUAACUCUUGUGCACAAUUGUACUAUUAACAUAGAAAGUAGUGUCAGUUGAAGAAUUUCUGGUACUAGGUGUCUAGUGGAUUCUGAAAUGUUAAACUCAGUCUCCUUCAUUGACCUAAAAGUAUUGUAUUUAUGAUGGUUAAAUUGAUGGAUAAGUUGGAUGUGUUUUGAAAAGUGGUGCAGUAUUUUUAAAAAUGUUUUAUGGAAUUGUUUUUCCAUUUUGUUUGUUUUCAAAUACAAUAUGGUUGCCAAGUAAUUUGUGCAUUCACUUAA